GAUUCCGUAGUGUAGCGGUUAUCACAUCUGCCUAACACGCAGACGGUCCCCGGUACGAGCCCGGGCGGAAUCA
rnacentral:tRNA from 1 species